rnacentral:rRNA from 1 species
CCCUUAGAUGUCCUGGGCUGCACACGCGCUACACUGACGAACUCAACGAGCUUAUCACCUUGGCAGAGAUGUCUGGGUAAUCUUUUGAAAGUUCGUCGUGCUGGGGAUAGAUGAUUGUAAUUAUUCGUCUUGAACGAGGAAUUCCUAGUAAGUGUGAGUCAUCAGCUCGCGCUGAUUACGUCCCUGCCCUUUGUACACACCGCCCGUCGCUCCUACCGAUUGAAUGGUCCGGUGAGGUUCUCGGAUUUUUUCUGUUGUUUGGUUCGCUAAACGAUUGAAGAGAGAAGUUACCCAAACCUUACCAUUUAGAGGAAGGAGAAGUCGUAACA